UACGUAGGGGCCGAGCGUUGUCCGGAGUUAUUGGGCGUAAAGCGUGCGCAGGCGGCUUCGCAAGUCAGACGUGAAAUCCCCGGGCUUAACCUGGGAAUGGCGUUUGAAACUACGGAGCUGGAGUAUGGCAGAGGGGGGUGGAAUUCCACGUGUAGCGGUGAAAUGCGUAGAUAUGUGGAGGAACACCGAUGGCGAAGGCAGCCCCCUGGGCCAAUACUGACGCUCAUGCACGAAAGCGUGGGGAGCGAACAGG
rnacentral:rRNA from 1 species